rnacentral:piRNA from 1 species
UAGAAUCACAGCUCUUGUCCAGACAAA